GAUGAAGAACGUAGUGAAAUGCGAUAAGUAAUGUGAAUUGCAGAAUUCAGUGAAUCAUCGAAUCUUUGAACGCACAUUGCGCCCUUUGGUAUUCCGAAGGGCACACCUGUUCGAGCGUCAUUACACCAAUCAAGUUUUGCUUGGUAUUGGGCUCUUUGUCCCUAUUUUUUAGGGACAGGCCUUAAAGACAUUGGCGGCAUAGUCCGGCUUCGAGCGCAGCAAAAAACAUCGCUUUUGGAGUUAACUGGAUUAUUGUUCCUUGUCCAUAAAAAUAGAGUAGAAAUACUCGACUUUUUUCUUAAGGUUGACCUCAGAUCAGGUGGGGAUACCCGCUGAACUUAAGCAUAUCAAUAAGCGGAGGA
rnacentral:misc_RNA from 1 species